rfam:Gossypium hirsutum cultivar TM-1 chromosome 7, whole genome shotgun sequence
AUGCCUUGAUGAGGGAACUUUCAUAAUAACUCCUUAACCGCUCCCAUGCCUCAUAUAAAGAUUCUUUAUCAAGUUUGUAACAGCCCGAUUCUGGGCCU